CUACGGGGGGCUCCAGUGAGGAAUAUUGGUCAAUGGGCGCGAGCCUGAACCAGCCAUCCCGCGUGCAGGAUGACGGCCCUAUGGGUUGUAAACUGCUUUUCUAUGCCAAGAAACCUGAUUACGUGUAAUCAGUUGCCGGUAGCAUAGGAAUAAGCAUCGGCUAACUCCGUGCCAGCAGCCGCGGUAAUACGGAGGAUGCAAGCGUUAUCCGGAUUCAUUGGGUUUAAAGGGUGCGCAGGUGGGCUUGUAAGUCAGUGGUGAAAUGCUGCCGCUUAACGGUAGAACUGCCAUUGAUACUGCGAGUCUUGAGUAUGGUUGAGGUAGGCGGAAUGUGUUGUGUAGCGGUGAAAUGCAUAGAUAUGACACAGAACGCCAAUUGCGAAGGCAGCUUACUAAGCCAUUACUGACGCUGAGGCACGAAAGCGUGGGGAGCGAACAGGAUUAGAUACCAUCGUAGUC
rnacentral:rRNA from 1 species